UCUCUGCCCGUCGGUACCCAUCUCCCUCUCUCUCUGCCCGUCUAUACCCAUCUCCCUCUCUCUCUGCCCGUCUAUACCCCUCCGUCCCGUCUCCCCUUCUCAUUCCCUCUGGCGAGAUACGUUUGUGAUGAACAUGGCCUAUUGAAGUGGCUGUUGAGUCUCCUGUAUGCAGCGUCUGCAGGUGCACUUCAAAGAGGCCGUGCUGGCGAGGGAGAGGCUGGAGGCCGAGUGGAGGCAGGGCGAGCGGGUAGCGCAGCAGGCCGUGUUUGCGGAGCGCCUCGUGGGGCUGCGGGAGGAGAUGGAGAGAGAGAUGAGACUGGCGGUGAAUGAGAUGUGUGGGAGGAUGAGGGCCAAGAUGCAGGGAGAGGCGGAAGAGGAGAGACUGAGAGAGGCAGAGGCCGUGGAGGCUAAAAUACAGGAGGAGAGAGAGAGGAGUGUUAGGGAGACGGAGCUACGAGUCCAACGGCAGUGUGAACAAGAGGCUCAGGAGGACCGAGAGGCUCUCCAGGAAAGACAUGCAGUGGAACUUUGCCGAAUGCAGACCAGGCAGUGGCAGCUGGAGCAGACUUUGUCCCGGGUCACAGGGGAGAAGAUGCGAUACGAAACAGAGUUUAAGAGAUUACAGUGUAGCUACAGACAGUUUGUGGAUCUGACCGAGUCCUCCCUCCACUCCGACUACCUGUUGAAGCUCCGUCACCUUGGUCGAGAGCCUGGAUACACUGAUGUGGGCGUUCAAACGGAUGAUGUCAUCAACGAGGGACACCUUCCCGGAUCAACUCAGUGAUGCAUCUUCCUGCUGCUCGAGGCAGGGGUACUGAGACACGUGCCUUUUGGAUCAGCUAAUUGUUUGCAAUCUUGAUCUGAACUAUUAGCUGUUAAAGUGUAACUCUGAUCUUAGAUCAGCACACAGGAACAUUAUCUGUCACCUUGGGCGUUCCAGUGGAGCUCCCAGAUGCCUCUGCUCUGUCAUCAGGAAUGUGUCCAUAUAGGGAAUGAAAAUUAUGCCACAAUGUAUUUAGAAAUAAAUCAGAUUUUCAAUUGAAUAUGUUGUCUUGUGAAUUUACUUCAAUCUGCAUUGAUUACAAGCAUAUUUC
rnacentral:lncRNA from 1 species